ensembl:lncRNA
UUUCCAUUCAGCAAAAGACAAAUGUGAGAUGUAAAAAUUAGGUCAUCGGGGCUGGGCAUGGUGGCGCAUCCCUAUAAUCCCAGCACUUUGGGAGGCUGAGGCGGGUGGAUCACCUGAGGUCGGGAGUUCAAGACCAGCCUGGCCAACAUAGUGAAACCCCAUCUCUACUAAAAAUACAAAAAUUAGCCAGGAGUGGUCCCACAUGCCUAUAGUCCCAGGUAAUAAGGAGCUUAAACCCAGGAGGCAAAGGUUUCAGUGAGCUGAGAUCACACCACUGCACUCCAGCCUGAGUGACAGAGCAAGACUUUGUCUCAGAAAAAAAAAAAAUUAGGGUCUUGUACUGGCAAUGUGGUGGGCAGAAGAUAAUUGGUUGAAGAAUAGACUGAGCUGGGGGUGCAGUCCCUGCCCUCUUCUCAAUCACCAGGGCUGAGAUAGAAGAGAUCAGGAGGAGCAGUAGUGGGGGCAGGAUGUCACCAUUAAGGCCACAAAAUCCAUAGGCUCCUUUCUGUCCCCAGGAGUUACUCUGGUGUUCUCCUUCCUCCUCUAGGCUCCCAGAGCUCCCUGCAGCUGCACACAUUCUUCCCCUUUCUUUGUCCCUUGGCUGCCAUGAGUGAGCCCACUGGACAUCCUAUGCAUCUUCUCCAAGAAUCUGGAGGCAACUAGAAAGUGUUCUGAAGGUCACACCUUCCCACAUCUUGUUUGGACUGCUACAACAGAUUGUUACCCACCUCCAGACUGUGACAAUAUUGAUAGGCACCAUUUAUGGAGCAACUACUACGUGCCAGACCCUGUACUAAGAAGUCUACGUGUAUUAUUGCUAAUCCUUAACAACUGUGGGAGAUUACCAAAUUAUGCUGCCCCUUUCAACAGAAGAGGAAUCUUAAGCAUCAGAGGUUAAAUAGCUCACCCAUGCUUGCACCAUUGUAAAUGGCUGAUUUACCCAGAACUGCCUGGCUCUCCGCCCCUAUUUCAUUCUCCUCUCUGAAGUCAGUCAUUUCUCUAAUAUACAGGUAUUCUCGUAUGUUGCCUUUGGAUCAAGUCUGGCCCCUUGCAUAGCUGAUUAGAUCUUCUCCAUCAGCCUCCACUCUGUGUUGCACUCAUACUCAGUUUUCAGCAUCUCAAAGUUGUCAUUCCCUCAUACCUCUGAGCCUUUGCGUAUACUCUUCCCCCUUCCAUUUUUUUUUUUUUUUUUUUAAGAUAAGGUCUCAUUCUGUCACCUGGGCUAAUUUUUUUUUUUUUUUUUUUUUUUUUUUGUAGAGACAGGGUUUUGCCAUGUUGCUUAGGCUGGUCUUGAACUACUGAACUCAAGUGAUCCACCCAUCUCAGCCUCCCAAAGUGCUAGGAUUACAGGCGUGAGCCACUUCGCCGGGUCCACUCUUCCUUUUUUCACUUAGUAACUCUUAUUUGUCCUUUGGUUUCUUUGUUUAGUCAUCCUUUCUUCCAGGAAGCCUUCUUUUUAACUCCCCCCCAACACUGGCUUAGAUCUACCUUGUCGUCCUUACGCUAUCAAGAUAAUUCCAGGCUGGGCGCAGUGGCUCAUGCCUGUAAUUCCAGCACUUUGGGAGGCCAGGGUGGGUGGAUCAUGAGGUCAGGAAGUGGAGACCAUCCUGGUUAACAACGUGAAACUCCAUCUCCACUAAAAAUACAAAACAGGCCGGGCGCAGUGGUUCACGCCUGUAAUCCCAGCACUUUGGGAGGCUGAGGUGGGCGAAUCACAAGGUCGAGAGAUCAAGCCCAUCCUGGCCAACAUGGUGAAACCCUGUCUCUACUAAAAAUACAAAAAUUAGCUGGGCGUGGUGGCAUGCCCCUGUAGUCCCAGCUACUCGGGAGGCUGAGGCAGGAGAAUUGCUUGAACCCGGGAGGCGGAGGUUGCAGUGAGCUGAGAUCGUGCCACUGCACUCCAGCCUGGCGACAGAGGGAGACUCGUCUCAAAAAAAAAAAAAAACAAAAAAAAACAAUUAGCUGGGCAUGGUGGCACAUGUCUGUAGUCUCAGCUACUCAGGAGGCUGAGGUAGUAUAAUUGCUUGAACCUGGGUGGUGGAGGUUGCAGUGAGCUGAGAUUGUGCCACUACACUCCAGCCUGGGUGACAGAAUGAGACCCCAUCUCAAAAUAAAAAGCUAUUUCCUGCUCUUUUGUGUUAGUUGCUGGUUAGUUUGUGAGGUGAAGGGAUG